AUUGAACGCUGGCGGCAUGCCUUACACAUGCAAGUCGAACGGCAGCACGGGUGCUUGCACCUGGUGGCGAGUGGCGAACGGGUGAGUAAUACAUCGGAACAUGUCCUGUAGUGGGGGAUAGCCCGGCGAAAGCCGGAUUAAUACCGCAUACGAUCUACGGAUGAAAGCGGGGGACCUUCGGGCCUCGCGCUAUAGGGUUGGCCGAUGGCUGAUUAGCUAGUUGGUGGGGUAAAGGCCUACCAAGGCGACGAUCAGUAGCUGGUCUGAGAGGACGACCAGCCACACUGGGACUGAGAAACGGCCCAGACUCCUACGGGAGGCAGCAGUGGGGAAUUUUGGACAAUGGGCGAAAGCUGAUCCAGCAAUGCCGCGUGUGUGAAGAAGGCCUUCGGGUUGUAAAGCACUUUUGUCCGGAAAGAAAUCCUUGGCCCUAAUACGGUCGGGGGAUGACGGUACCGGAAGAAUAAGCACCGGCUAACUACGUG
rnacentral:rRNA from 1 species